UACGUAGGGUGCAAGCGUUGUCCGGAAUUAUUGGGCGUAAAGAGCUCGUAGGCGGGCUGUCACGUCGGCUGUGAAAUCCCGAGGCUCAACCUCGGGUCUGCAGUCGAUACGGGCAAACUAGAGUAUUGCAGGGGAGACUGGAAUUCCUGGUGUAGCGGUGAAAUGCGCAGAUAUCAGGAGGAACACCGGUGGCGAAGGCGGGUCUCUGGGCAAUAACUGACGCUGAGGAGCGAAAGCGUGGGGAGCGAACAGG
rnacentral:rRNA from 1 species